AUGGGCCGCAACGUCGGAGCUUGGGUCUCUCCGGGUUUCUGUGCACCAGGAAGAGCCUUCCCUGUUUGCGUCAGGAGCUUUCAUCUCCUUUUUUCUGGGUUGCUCGCCCGAGGUAUCUUCGGGUUGUGAGGGUACUGUAGGCUGCGUAUGCGGUUGGUGGGCUUCCCUUUCUUGCAGGUACCUGACCUAGACUCGCGUCGGCCCUCCAGGGUACGAG